rnacentral:lncRNA from 1 species
GCCUGACUUUCUGUCCAGAAAGGUGGGUAGAAAAAUUAUCACAAUGAAGUUAUUUUAUUUCUAGUUUCUGUGUUGCUGAAGAAGUCCGUCAAUGAGAAACACCAUGUGCAUGAAAGGCAAAUCCUUCCCUUACCUCUGAGCUUCCUCUCUGGGCCAUGUGACAGCAAGAAGGCAGCCCACUGCAUACCAGGAAGAGGUCUAUCACCAGGAACCAAAUCUACCAGCACCUUGACCACUUCUCAGCACUUCUCAGCCUCCAGAAAUGUGGAAAAAUAUAUUUCUGUUGUUUAAGCCAUCUGGUCUGUGGUAUUUUUUAAAAAU